ensembl:snRNA U6 U6 spliceosomal RNA
GUGCUCACUUCAGCAGCACAUUUACUAAAAUUUAACAAUACAGGGAAGAUUAGCGUGGCCCCUGAGCAAGGACUACACACAAAUUCAUGACGCAUUCCAUAUUUAA